rnacentral:rRNA from 1 species
AUUGAACGCUGGCGGCAGGCCUAACACAUGCAAGUCGAGCGAGCGGCGGACGGGUGAGUAAUGUAUGGGGACUGCCCGAUAGAGGGGGAUAACUACUGGAAACGGUGGCUAAUACCGCAUACUAUCGGAUAACCCAUAUGGGAUUAGCUAGUUGGGGAGGUAAUGGCUCACCAAGGAGACGAUCCCUAGCCGGUCUGAGAGGAUGAUCAGCCACACUGUGACUGAGACAUGGCCCAGACUCCUACGGAGGCAGCAGUGGGGAAUAUUGCACAAUGGGCGCAAGCCUGAUGCAGCCAUGCCGCGUGUAUGAAGAAGGCCCUAGUGUUGUAAAGUACUUUCAGUCGGGAGGCGUUACCGACAGAAGAAGCACCGGCUAACUCCGUGCCAGCAGCCGCGGUAAUUC